rnacentral:rRNA from 1 species
UACAGGGGGGGCAAGCGUUGUUCGGAAUUACUGGGCGUAAAGGGUUUGUAGGUGGCCACUUAAGUCAGACGUGAAAUCCUUCAGCUUAACUGGGGAACUGCGUCUGAUACUGCGUGGCUUGAGUGCAGGAGAGGAACGCGGAAUUCCAGGUGUAGCGGUGAAAUGCGUAGAUAUCUGGAGGAACACCGGUGGCGAAGGCGGCGUUCUGGACUGUAACUGACACUGAAAAACGAAAGCCAGGGGAGCAAACGGG